CCUACGGGAGGCAGCAGUGGGGAAUCUUGCGCAAUGGGCGAAAGCCUGACGCAGCAACGCCGCGUGCGGGAUGAAGGCCUUCGGGUUGUAAACCGCUUUCAGUGGGGACGAACCAAGACGGUACCCACAGAAGAAGGUCCGGCCAACUACGUGCCAGCAGCCGCGGUAACACGUAGGGACCAAGCGUUGUCCGGAUUCAUUGGGCGUAAAGAGCUCGUAGGCGGUUCGAUAAGUCGGGUGUGAAACCUCCAGGCUCAACCUGGAGACGCCACCCGAUACUGUCGUGACUAGAGUCCAGUAGGGGAGCGUGGAAUUCCUGGUGUAGCGGUGAAAUGCGCAGAUAUCAGGAGGAACACCAGCGGCGAAGGCGGCGCUCUGGGCUGGAACUGACGCUGAGGAGCGAAAGCGUGGGGAGCGAACAGGAUUAGAUACCCUGGUAGUCCACGCCGUAAACGUUGGGUACUAGGUGUGGGGUCUUAUCAACGGAUUCCGUGCCGAAGCUAACGCAUUAAGUACCCCGCCUGGGGAGUACGGCCGCAAGGCUAAAACUCAAAGGAAUUGACGGGGGCCCGCACAAGCAGCGGAGCAUGUUGCUUAAUUCGAGGCAACGCGAAGAACCUUACA
rnacentral:rRNA from 1 species